AGAGUUUGAUCCUGGCUCAGGACGAACGCUGGCGGCGCGCUUAACACAUGCAAGUCGAGCGAGAACCAGGCCUUCGGGCCUGGGGAAAGCGGCGAACGGGUGAGUAACACGUGGGUAACCCACCCUUGGCACCGGGAUAGCCCGGGGAAACCCGGAUUAAUACCGGAUGGCCCAACAGCUCUUCGGGGCGGUUGGAAAGGUAGCUUCGGCCUCCGGCCAAGGACGGGCCCGCGGCGGAUUAGCUUGUUGGUGGGGUAACGGCCUACCAAGGCGACGAUCCGUAGCUGGUCUGAGAGGACGAUCAGCCACACUGGGACUGAGACACGGCCCAGACUCCUACGGGAGGCAGCAGUGGGGAUCUUGCCC
rnacentral:rRNA from 1 species